AGUGAACGCUGGCGGUAGGCCUAACACAUGCAAGUCGAAUGGCAGCACAGUAAGAGCUUGCUCUUACGGGUGGCGAGUGGCGGACGGGUGAGGAAUACAUCGGAAUCUACUUUUUCGUGGGGGAUAACGUAGGGAAACUUACGCUAAUACCGCAUACGACCUACGGGUGAAAGCAGGGGAUCUUCGGACCUUGCGCGAUUGAAUGAGCCGAUGUCGGAUUAGCUAGUUGGCGGGGUAAAGGCCCACCAAGGCGACGAUCCGUAGCUGGUCUGAGAGGAUGAUCAGCCACACUGGAACUGAGACACGGUCCAGACUCCUACGGGAGGCAGCAGUGGGGAAUAUUGGACAAUGGGCGCAAGCCUGAUCCAGCCAUACCGCGUGGGUGAAGAAGGCCUUCGGGUUGUAAAGCCCUUUUGUUGGGAAAGAAAAGCAGCAGGUUAAUACCCCGCUGUUCUGACGGUACCCAAAGAAUAAGCACCGGCUAACUUCGCG
rnacentral:rRNA from 1 species